AUGAAGUGGGAAGAAAUGGGCUACAUUUUCUACUCCAGAAUACUACGAAAGGCACCAUGAAAUAAGUACCCGAAGGUGGAUUUAGCAGUAAAAAGAAAAUAGAGAGUUCUUUUGAAUCCGGCUCUGAGGCGCGCACACACCGCCCGUCACUCUCCCCAACUCUAGGCCCAGAAAAUUGUAAACAGCCAGCAACCCUAGCCCCCAAGGGGAGGCAAGUCGUAACAUGGUAAGUGUACCGGAAGGUGCACUUGGAGUAAC
rnacentral:rRNA from 1 species